UACGAAGGGGGCUAGCGUUGCUCGGAAUCACUGGGCGUAAAGGGCGCGUAGGCGGCCUGAUCAGUCGGGGGGUGAAAGCCUGUGGCUCAACCACAGAAUGGCCUCGAUACUGUCAGGCUUGAGACCGGAAGAGGUAAGUGGAACUGCGAGUGUAGAGGUGAAAUUCGUAGAUAUUCGCAAGAACACCAGUGGCGAAGGCGGCUUACUGGUCCGGAUCUGACGCUGAGGCGCGAAAGCGUGGGGAGCAAACAGG
rnacentral:rRNA from 1 species